rnacentral:snoRNA from 1 species
GUCCUCGUUUCCUUACGCAUCAGAUCUAAACACUGAUCUCAGUGGUUCUAAAAGGAGAAGUAAAAUUGAAACUGACUUCAAUUUUUUGUGAUAUAAGAACUAGUUUCUUUUUUUC